AUGAUCACGGGCUCGGCGGUGUACCAAGUGGUGGAGGCGAUGGCGCCGCUGUACACGGCGGCGGCGCUGGGCUACGCGUCGGUGCGGUGGCUCAAGGCCUUCUCCGAGGAGCAGUGCGCGGGGAUCAACCGCUUCGUCGCCACCUACGCCAUGCCGGCGCUCAUCUUCGACAUGGUCUCCACCAACGAUCCCUACGCCAUGAACGGCCGCCUCGUGGCCGCCGACACGCUGCAGAAAGGGUUCAUGCUGCUCGGCCUCGUGGCGUGGGCGGCGUGGUCAUCCCCCCGCCGCCGCGACACAUCUGCCGGCAACGGCAAGGUUGCGGCCUCGCCGCUGCAGUGGGUGGUCACCGCCUUCUCCAUGGCGCAGCUGCCCAGCACCAUCGUCAUGGGCGUGCCGCUCCUCGGCGCCCUGUACGGACCCACGUCCAAGGACCUCAUGAAACAGAUCGUCGUGAUGCAGCUCUGCGUCUGGUACAACGUCGUCAUCUUCAUGUACGAGUACAUGGCGGCGAAGGAUGGCAGCACCAAGGUCGGCCCCGCCCCAGCGUCGCCGGAGAACGUUGAAAGCACGGAGGUCCAGGCGGCACAACAAGGCAUGGCCGCGGCCAGCCAGACAACGUCGACCGCGGUCGUGGGAGAGGCGAGUCCGACUCAUGGUGCAGAUGCCGAGGUCGCGGAGGCAGAGGAUGUCGCGUUGCCGCCACCUCCAUCGAUGAGCCAUGUCGCUUUUGUGACAGGGAAAAAGGUUCUCAAGAUCCCAAACACAUAUGCUACCUUCCUUGGCCUCUUUUGGGCUCUAAUCGCAUUCAAGUGUAGAAUCAAGAUGCCGAAAAUCAUCGUUGACUCUUUGUUCACCAUACAGACAACAACAGUUGGCCUAAGCAUGUUUUCAUCAGGGACGUUCAUGGCGCGACAGCCACGGUUUAUUCCAUGCGGCUAUGUGAUCGCUUUGGUUUCAAUGAUCCUCAAGUUUCUGAUAGGCCCGAUGGCGAUGCUGCUCGCGUCAUUCGCUAUUGGCAUGCAGGGUACCCUAUUGCGCAUUGCAGUUAUACAGGCGGCACUCCCUUUGUCCGUGAUUUCAUUUGUGUAUGCUAAAGAGUACAAGGUCCAUGCAGAUAUCAUGAGCACUGGGGUAAUCCUUGGGAUAUUUAUCUUGCUUCCUGUCACCAUUGUGUACUACAUUCUAUUGGAGCUGUGA
rnacentral:rRNA from 1 species